AUUGAACGCUGGCGGCAGGCCUAACACAUGCAAGUCGAACGAGUGGCGGACGGGUGAGUAAUGUCUGGGAAACUGCCUGAUGGAGGGGGAUAACUACUGGAAACGGUAGCUAAUACCGCAUACCAUCAGAUGUGCCCAGGUGGGCUUAGCUAGUUGGUGGGGUAACGGCUCACCAAGGCGACGAUCCCGAGAUGGUCUGAGAGGAUGAACAGCCACACUGGAACGUAGAAACGGUCAAGCCUCCGACGGGAGGCAGCAGUGGGGAAUAUUGCACCAUGUGUGCAAGCCUGAUGCAGCCAUGCCGCGUGUAUGAAGAAGUCCUUCGGGUUGUAAAGUACUUUCAGCUGGGAGGCGUUACCCGCAGAAGAAGCACCGGCUAACUCCGUGCCAGCCGCCGCGGUAAUUC
rnacentral:rRNA from 1 species